rnacentral:rRNA from 1 species
CAACAGUACGUGAAACCGCAUAGAGGUAAACGGGUGGAUCCGCAAAGUCGGCCCGCGGAAUUCAGCUCGGAAGGCUGCGCGCCUGCCGCCGGGUAGGAGAUCGCAAGACUCUCCUGGCGUGGGACGCGUGCCGGCCGUGUGCACUUUCCGUGGGCAGAGCGCCACGACCGGUUUCCGGGCGGUCAGAAGGCGGCGAGGAUGGUAGGCGCGUGCCUCGGUGCGCGCUGGUAUAGCCUCGCCUGUCCCGAUCCGCCUGGGGACCGAGGAGCCGCCGUGGGCUGGGGCCGCCUCGCCCUCCUGGGAUGUUCGACUGGCAGAGACUGGGUGACCGUGUCUGCCGACCGCUUCCUGGGACGGACUGGGGUGGGCCCGCCCUCACAGGGUCAGUGGCGAAUCGGUCGGCCCUCCACCCGACCCGUCUUGAAACACGGACCAAGGAGUCUAACAUGCGCGCGAGUCGUUGGGUCGUACGAAACCCGAAGGCGAAGUGAAAGCGAGGGCCGUCUCUGACGUGCUCAGGUGGGAUCCCGGUCCCUCUGCGGGCUGGGCGCACCACCGGCCCGUCUCGUCCGCGUGGU